rnacentral:rRNA from 1 species
CCUACGGGAGGCAGCAGUGGGGAAUAUUGCACAAUGGGCGCAAGCCUGAUGCAGCGACGCCGCGUGAGCGAUGAAGGCCUUCGGGUCGUAAAGCUCUGUCCUAAGGGAAGAAUAAUGACGGUACCUUAGGAGGAAGCCCCGGCUAACUACGUGCCAGCAGCCGCGGUAAUACGUAGGGGGCGAGCGUUAUCCGGAAUCACUGGGCGUAAAGGGUGCGUAGGCGGCUCUGCCAGUCAGUAGUUAAAUCGCUCGGCUCAACCGAGGUCAGCUCUUGAAACUGUAGGGCUUGAGUUCAGGAGAGGAGAGCGGAAUUUCUAGUGUAGCGGUGCAGUGCGUAGAUAUUAGGAGGAACAGCAAUGGCGAAGGCGGCUCAAUGGACUACAACUGACGCUGGGGCACGAAAGCGUGGGGAGCAAACAGGAUUAGAUACCCUGGUAGUC